UUGCAAUUGCACCCUCCCUAAACGUGCUCUAAAGCCCUCUAAAAUUUCCCGCUUACAUUUCCCUCUAUUUUUUUGGCGAAAAAUUAGGCUCUAAAUUACUCUAAUAAAAAUAUACCUGUCAAAUUUACCCACACAACAAGAAGAUCUCGUCCUUCUUCCCUAAGAUCUGGCUCUUCUUAUACCUCUCUGUUCAUUGAGUGACGCGGGGUGGGUUCGGAGGAAAUCAUUAAUGGAAGCGAUAAAAUUCUUCUAAUUUCUCUUCUCAAAUUUCAAAACUUUCUCUUCGUCUGGUUCUGUGGCUAUCGACUUCAAUUGGGGAUUUCAUUUUUUUAGGGUUUUCAGUCACUGUUGACCUCUAUUUUUCAAGGACAUACUUGUAAGGUUUUUCUGGAAUUUUUACUUUCAAUUUAAUGACUUUUCAGUUUGGCUUUUCUGAAAUUCCUAAAAUUCCUUUUCUUGUUAAUGACUUCUUUAAAUUUCGGGAAAAAUCCUCUUUUCUUGUUGAGAGAUUUGCAUUUUCUUUUAAGAAUUUUGCGAUCAUAUACUAAUUUUAUAUUGGAAUUAGAUCGAUGCUUUUAUGUGAUGCCAAAAAUGCAUGGGUUUAGUUUCAUUAACCUUCAUGUGUUGCCUUUACCUCUACUAAAAUUUUGUUUCAUUCUAGGUCAAUCACGAGCAGAAGUUCAUGAUUCAUUUAUAACUUGUUGACACUUUCCUUUUUCUCUUGUUGGUAUAAUUUGAAGUUUUAAUUUAAUUUCACGCUAUUGUGGUGAUGAGUUAAUAUGGCGCAUCUUUGGUUCUACACAUUUGGUGAAGCUUAAAUUUUGGUUGAGUGUCUUUUCCUGUUACAUUCCGAUAAAAUAGAGUUCAUCUCAUUUUGAGUGCUUAUUUGGUCCAAUGUUGUGCUUGUGUACUUGAAUUCUUGAUUUGAUACCGUGUGAAGAAUAACUUAGUGAGUAUGAUUAGACUGAUUUGUUUGAAUGUUGCUGGAUGAGAUCUAAAUGUAUAUGAUUCCCACACAUUUGUCUAUAAGUAUGGCAAAAAUCUUCGUUUAUUUUUUAGUUAUUUUCUGUUUUUUAAUUGUUGGAAAAAUAUUAGUUCUCAGAAAGAUAGUAGAGUAUAGGAUACUGAUUGACAAAACUUAAUACGAAAGGUGAUAAACCCACCAAUCCACCAUUUACAUCUUUGAUAAUAUUUGGGUGUGCAAUAUUCAAGAAGUCAGAGAUUAGGAGAUCUCACAAAGGUACAUAAACUUUUGUUCGAACCUCGGUCAUAUAUGGUACUCUCUGCUCCAAUAAUUUUUCUUUAGUUGAUUUAGAAUGCGGGGUUGCAACUACUAUUAAUUACAAAUUUUGUAGCUAAGCAUCACUUGAUCUCGGGUUUGGCAUCAUGUCCUUGGCCUAUCUAUGUACACUUGGCAACUAAGAACCCCAAUUCCAUGUCUACAGUUUAUGUAAGCUACUUCAGGAAUUGAUUGUUCAUUGAGUAAUUAUCUAAUGUGUAAAGAAAGUCUCAACUCUAAUUUAACUAGUGCGGGUCAUUAUUAUUUUUACUAUAACAUGCUUUCUUGGUCCUGUCAUCACUAUUUUUUGUGUAAUUAUUUGGUCCUUUUUCACUUUGAUUUAUAUUCUCUUACUGUCCUUCAUACUUCUAAUAUUUCGCAAGCUUCUGUAGUUCGUUCCCACUUUGAUUUGUAUUUCAAAUAUUGACAGCAAAGGAUAGUACUUCAAAACUUUCGACCGUAUUAAUGCUUAACAAUUUAGGGAGAGAAAAGUUUAAAUAGCUAUAAGGAUAAAUUAUUUUUUAACAUUUCAGCAGUUUAUAUCAGCUAAUUUCAAAGUAGUUCAAUGUUUCGAGACUCGACUGCGUAUAUUGGAGGCUUAGCAUGUGAAUUCCUAAUUUUACACCUCAGGAGUAACUAGUUUGAUAAAUCUUCUCCUACCAAUCUACCAGAUUCGAAAGUUCGCCAUCUCACAAUUUCUCUUCUCUCAGAUCCAGGUGCCAGAGCAUCCGAGAGAGAGUUGUUCCUUACCUUCAGAGCAUUCCGGAGUUAGCAAGGUAGUUGCACGGCGUCCGCAGCCUUGCCUUUCUCCUUCCUAUCUACUAGCAUUUGUUUCUCACAGACUCAUCUUAUAUUGAGUAGACAAUAUCAGAUUGUAUUUUAGUGGCUCAUGACUAGUGACACCGAGAUCGAGCAGUGGUUGAAGUUUUACAUAUUUUUUUCCGCUUGUUUUGAAAUGUUUAAACGAAAGAUUUAUGAUAAUAUCUGAUUAGAAAAUGAAUUAAGAAAAAGACUUGUUUUGUUAUAAA